rnacentral:sRNA from 1 species
GCGGCUGAAACAACAGCCGCCGGGCGUGAGAACCCGUGGACCAUAGGCGGACGAGCCGCCGCACACGCGGCUAUUUU